rnacentral:rRNA from 1 species
CUGUUCGCCCAUUAAAGCGGUACGCGAGCUGGGUUCAGAACGUCGUGAGACAGUUCGGUCCCUAUCCGUCGCGGGCGCAGGAAAUUUGAGAGGAGCUGUCCUUAGUACGAGAGGACCGGGAUGGACGCACCGCUGGUGUACCAGUUGUUCUGCCAAGGGCAUCGCUGGGUAGCUAUGUGCGGACGGGAUAAGUGCUGAAAGCAUCUAAGCAUGAAGCCCCCCUCAAGAUGAGAUUUCCCAUUCCGCAAGGAAGUAAGAUCCCUGAAAGAUGAUCAGGUUGAUAGGUCUGAGGUGGAAGCGUGGUGACACGUGGAGCUGACAGAUACUAAUAGAUCGAGGACUUAACCUAU